AGAAUGAACGCUGGCGGCGUGCUUCAGACAUGCAAGUCGUACGCGAAAGUCCGCAAGGAUGAGUAAAGUGGCGCACGGGUGAGUACAACUUAGGUAACGCGCCCUCUCGCUGGGAAUAACUAGACGAAAGUUUAGCUAAUACCGAAUGGUCCGUUUGAAACUGCGGUUUCGAUCGGUAAAGCCGUAAGGCGCGAGAGGAGUGGCCUGAGCCUCAUUAGCUAGUUGGUAGGGUAACGGCCUACCAAGGCAACGAUGGGUAGCUGGUCUGAGGGGACGAUCAGCCACACUGGAACUGGAACACGGUCCAGACUCCUACGGGAGGCAGCAGUUAGGAAUUUUGCGCAAUGGGCGAAAGCCUGACGCAGCAACGCCGCGUGAGUGAUGAAGGCCUUCGGGUUGUAAAGCUCUUUUAGUUGGGAAAACACAAUGAUGGUACCAACAGAAACAGCACCGGCUAACUCUGCGCCAGCAGCGCGGUAA
rnacentral:rRNA from 1 species